CAUUUAGGCACCGAAGAAGUACUUGAUGUCACGAGGUCGGAGACAUCUGGAUCGAUCCGACGCCGUAGCCUUGUAAAGGGCUGCACCAUAGCCGUUCCGGAAAACUUGACGCCUCGGUCGUCCGAAGAAGCAGGCAAGAGAACGGGAUCGCGGUGCUGCCUUAAUUAGGCGAGCGGCAACUGCGCAUCCCAGGCAUCCGAGAACAUGCAGACCGGCUUAAGUCUGAAACAAGGCAACAAGAGCGGCAGAGCGCGAUAAGCGUCCGAGUGGCAAAGCCUUGCAUUAGGACGAGAAAAAAUAGAACGAACGAAUGAAAGGAAACGAAAAGAUCGAUAAGGGAUUUAGAGGUGCUUUCGUCUGCCCGUCAAUUUAUCGGGCUCAUUAUCACAAAGGAAAUGGCGAUACCUAAGAGGCACUCAGGAAAA